GACGAACGCUGGCGGCGUGCUUAACACAUGCCAGUCGAACGGUGAAGCACCUUCCUUUUGGUGGGUGUGGAUGAGUGGCGAACGGGUGAGUAACACGUGAGUAACCUGCCCCCUUCUUCUGGAUAACCGCAUGAAAGUGUGGCUAAUACGGGAUAUUCUGUGCCUGCUGCAUGGUGGGUGUGGGAAAGAUGCGCUUUUGGGUGUUUUCGGUGGGGGAUGGGCUCGCGGCCUAUCAGCUUGUUGGUGGGGUGAUGGUCUACCAAGGCGGUGACGGGUAGCCGGCCUGAGAGGGUGGACGGUCACACUGGGACUGAGACACGGCCCAGACUCCUACGGGAGGCAGCAGUGGGGAAUAUUGCACAAUGGGCGCAAGCCUGAUGCAGCGACGCCGCGUGAGGGAUGGAGGCCUUCGGGUUGUAAUCCUCUUUCGCCAGUGAAGCAGGCCUGUCCCUUGUUGGUGGGUUGACGGUAGCUGGAUAAGAAGCGCCGGCUAACUACGUG
rnacentral:rRNA from 1 species